AUUGAACGCUGGCGGCAUGCCUUACACAUGCAAGUCGAACGGCAGCGGACCUUCGGGUGCCGGCGAGUGGCGAACGGGUGAGUAAUGCAUCGGAACGUGCCAUUGAGUGGGGGAUAACGUAGCGAAAGUUACGCUAAUACCGCAUAUUCUGUGAGCAGGAAAGCAGGGGACCGCAAGGCCUUGCGCUCUUUGAGCGGCCGAUGUCAGAUUAGCUAGUUGGUGAGGUAAAGGCUUACCAAGGCGACGAUCUGUAGCGGGUCUGAGAGGAUGAUCCGCCACACUGGAACUGAGACACGGUCCAGACUCCUACGGGAGGCAGCAGUGGGGAAUUUUGGACAAUGGGCGCAAGCCUGAUCCAGCCAUGCCGCGUGAGUGAAGAAGGCCUUCGGGUUGUAAAGCUCUUUCGGUCCGGGAACGGAAAGUACGC
rnacentral:rRNA from 1 species